rnacentral:rRNA from 1 species
UACGUAGGUGGCAAGCGUUGUCCGGAAUUAUUGGGCGUAAAGCGCGCGCAGGCGGUCCUUUAAGUCUGAUGUGAAAGCCCACGCUCAACCGGGAGGGUGCGCCGAAUACUGAGUGACUAGAGUGCGGGAGAGGAAAGUGGAAUUCCUGGUGUAGCGGUGAAAUGCGUAGAUAUCAGGAGGAACACCGGUGGUGUAGACGGCUUUCUGGACCGUAACUGACGCUGAGACACGAAAGCGUGGGUAGCAAACAGG